UGUAAACAUUUAUUAUUAAUAUUUGUUGAGCCUCCAGUUAAAGUUUAGAGCACCUGCACCUGGACAUUACACUUAACAAGCAGAUGUCAAACGUACAUCACAUGCGAUGACGUAAAUGCAAGUAAAACAUACCUGUCACUGAAGUAGCCACGCCCCUUUAUUAUGCAGAUUCAUAUCAAUUCAGUGGAUUAAACGAGACACAGUGUGUGUGUAGUGCAUGUUUAAGAGCGUGGAGAGAAGGUGAGCAUACGGGAAGCAGCCGAGGGGUGAAGGAACAUCUGGCAAACAUGUCUCUUCGGAGCCACUCUGGCCGAGGCGAAUCGCUGCUUAAGUCACAAACUUAACAUUGCUUGCCGCCUCAUGCAUAAAAAGCGAGUUCACCCAUGAAUGAAUUCUUCAAACGCAUCAUUCUAAUGGAGCCUCUGAAGCAGAAGCCGAGUGGGAAAGUGUGGAGCGCUCCAUUUGUUGCUGGAUUUCGCAGAGAACAGUGGAUUGUGAAGCAGACAAGACUGAUGAAGGUCAAGAGACAGAAAGGUGAUUUCAUCAUUACUUCUGGUGUUCUGAGUUUGAACUAAUGUAAUGUUUGAUUAAAAUAUGCACUGUUUGGUUUACAGUGCUGACCAUCAGCUGGUAUAUCGAACAUUUAAGCAUUAAAAUCAAAACAA